AUUGAACGCUGGCGGCAUGCCUUACACAUGCAAGUCGAACGGUAACAGGUUAAGCUGACGAGUGGCGAACGGGUGAGUAAUAUAUCGGAACGUGCCCAGUCGUGGGGGAUAACGUAGCGAAAGCUACGCUAAUACCGCAUACGAUCUACGGAUGAAAGCGGGGGAUCGCAAGACCUCGCGCGAUUGGAGCGGCCGAUAUCAGAUUAGGUUGUUGGUGAGGCAAAAGCUCACCAAGCCUGCGAUCUGUAGCUGGUCUGAGAGGACGACCAGCCACACUGGAACUGAGACCCGGUCCAGACUCGUACGGGAGGCAGCAGUGGGGAAUUUUGGACAAUGGACGCAAGUCUGAUCCAGCAAUGCCGCGUACAGGACGAAGGCCGUCGGGUUGUAAACUGCUUUUGUACGGAACGAAACGGUGAGCUCUAAUACAGUUUGCUAAUGACGGUACCGUAAGAAUAAGCACCGGCUAACUACGUGCCAGCAGCCGCGGUAA
rnacentral:rRNA from 1 species